GACUUUCUCCCCUAGCAGAUUCCUGACGGA
rnacentral:piRNA from 1 species